rnacentral:rRNA from 1 species
AGUGAACGCUGGCGGUAGGCCUAACACAUGCAAGUCGAACGGCAGCACAGUAAGAGCUUGCUCUUACGGGUGGCGAGUGGCGGACGGGUGAGGAAUACAUCGGAAUCUACUUUUUCGUGGGGGAUAACGUAGGGAAACUUACGCUAAUACCGCAUACGACCUACGGGUGAAAGCAGGGGAUCUUCGGACCUUGCGCGAUUGAAUGAGCCGAUGUCGGAUUAGAUAGUUGGCGGGGUAAAGGCCCACCAAGGCGACGAUCCGUAGCUGGUCUGAGAGGAUGAUCGGCCACACUGGAACUGAGACACGGUCCAGACUCCUACGGGAGGCAGCAGUGGGGAAUAUUGGACAAUGGGCGCAAGCCUGAUCCAGCCAUACCGCGUGGGUGAAGAAGGCCUUCGGGUUGUAAAGCCCUUUUGUUGGGAAAGAAAAGCAGCAGGUUAAUACCCCGCUGUUCUGACGGUACCCAAAGAAUAAGCACCGGCUAACUUCGUG